rnacentral:rRNA from 1 species
AACGAACGCUGGCGGCAGGCUUAACACAUGCAAGUCGAACGCAUCUUUCGGGGUGAGUGGCAGACGGGUGAGUAACGCGUGGGAACGUGCCCUUCAGUUCGGGAUAACCCAGGGAAACUUGGGCUAAUACCGGAUACGUGCGAGAGCAGAAAGAUUUAUCGCUGAAGGAUCGGCCCGCGUCUGAUUAGCUAGUUGGUGGGGUAAUGGCCCACCAAGGCGACGAUCAGUAGCUGGUCUGAGAGGAUGAUCAGCCACAUUGGGACUGAGACACGGCCCAAACUCCUACGGGAGGCAGCAGUGGAGAAUAUUGGACAAUGGGCGCAAGCCUGAUCCAGCCAUGCCGCGUGAGUGAUGAAGGCCUUAGGGUUGUAAAGCUCUUUCGUCCGGGACGAUAAUGACGGUACCGGAAGAAGAAGCCCCGGCUAACUUCGUGCCAGCCGCCGCAGUAA